GGACAAUCAAAGCUUCAACCAGAGAAGAUAAGGCAUAGACUUACUACACAGGAUUCAAGGAAAAAUUUACAGCAGAAAUAAAAGAAUUCAUGGAAAGCCUCAAGAAAUUACAGAGAAUAUCUGAAUGAUGUCGUUCUAACUAGUAUUUCCAAAUGGAGGCACAAGCCCACACAGACAGGAAGAAUGGAAAUCAGAGACAAAAGCAACAAAACUUUAGGAGCUGACAAGGCAGAGAGAAGACUGGUAAAUGACUCAACAGACCCAAGACAGAUGAAUGCUAAGCCAGAAGUGUAGAAAGCCAAGAACCAACAUGCUUAUAAUACAAAAUUCCUUUAAGGCCCAGAAACUGGCAGGACCAAGUACCUCUGGCAUCAGAGUCAAGGUAGAAUUAAAAUUACUUUCUCAAUACAAGUUCAUUUAAGAAGCUUGGAUAGGUCUUCCCAUCCCCUUGAAGUCCUCCCCUACUUAGCACAGCCACAUGACUGACACUUCCCCACAUGAGCAAAAUAUAAGAAGUUUGCACUCUAGAGGGUAAACAAGGGGUCUUUGGAUUGGGUCUAUGCUAUAGACUGAAUUGUGUCCCCUCACCAAAUACAUAUGUUGAAG